rnacentral:rRNA from 1 species
AUUGAACGCUGGCGGCAUGCCUUACACAUGCAAGUCGAACGGUAACAGGUUUUCGGAUGCUGACGAGUGGCGAACGGGUGAGUAAUACAUCGGAACGUGCCCGUUCGUGGGGGAUAACGAAGCGAAAGCUUUGCUAAUACCGCAUAAGAUCUACGGAUGAAAGCAGGGGACCGCAAGGCCUUGCGCGAACGGAGCGGCCGAUGGCAGAUUAGGUAGUUGGUGGGAUAAAAGCUUACCAAGCCGACGAUCUGUAGCUGGUCUGAGAGGACGACCAGCCACACUGGGACUGAGACACGGCCCAGACUCCUACGGGAGGCAGCAGUGGGGAAUUUUGGACAAUGGGCGAAAGCCUGAUCCAGCCAUGCCGCGUGCAGGAUGAAGGCCUUCGGGUUGUAAACUGCUUUUGUACGGAACGAAAAGACUCUGGUUAAUACCUGGGGUCCAUGACGGUACCGUAAGAAUAAGCACCGGCUAACUACGUG